UUCCAGGGAGAGGAUUACUUUCUCCCACUUAGAACUGCGUGUCUGAACCGGUUACCAAGCCCGGGGCUGGCUGCCUUCCUCCCCAGUUAUCAGACUUAGACUCUGCCAAUCAAAAUACAUCUGUGCCGGAUUUGAAGCUCUGAAAGGGAAGAUCUGUGCCCACGCCGGCAAAAUUCACCUCCUGGAGCAGAAGUGGCUCAAUGAGCACAGAGAAGUUGGAAAAUAGGGACACAGAGAAGUUAUGAGACAGUAAAACACAAAGAAGCAAGAUCAUUGUGGGCUUCCAGGUUGGUUGCAGA